rnacentral:tRNA from 1 species
GCCCUGGUGGUGUAGUCUGGUCUAUCAUACAUGCCUGUCACGCGUGUGACCCGAGUUCAAAGCGACCCUUUGGAAAAGUGUCGCGCCCCAAAGGCGCUGACGCGAAUAACCAAGUGGUUGUUGAAAGUCUCGGCCAGGGCG